GGUGCUAUAGUCUAGUGGUUAGGACAUCAGGCUUUGAUGAAACGAAUCCUGAGAGCCUCGGUUCGAACCCGGGUAGCACCU